rnacentral:tRNA from 1 species
GUAGCAUAAAUGGUUUGCAUUUGGCUCAUAACCAAAAGGUUGGUGGUUUGAACCUACCC